rnacentral:rRNA from 1 species
AACGAACGCUGGCGGCAGGCCUAACACAUGCAAGUCGAGCGAGACCUCCCGGUCUUGCGGCGGACGGGUGAGUAACGCGGGGGAACGUGCACUUUUCUGCGGUACAGCCUCGGGAAACUGAGCGUAAUACCGCAGACGCCCUUUGGGGGUAAGAUUUAUCGGAAAAGGAUCGGCCCGCGUUGGAUUAGGUUGUUGGUGGGGGAAUGGCCUACCAAGCCUACGAUCCAGAGCUGGUUGGAGAGGAUGAUCAGCCGCACUGGGACUGAGACACGGCCCAGACGGCUACGGGAGGCAGCAGUGGGGAAUCUUAGACAGUGGGGGCAACCCUGAUCUAGCCAUGCCGCGUGAGUGAUGAAGGCCUUAGGGUUGUAAAGCUCUUUCAGCUAGGAAGAUAAUGACGGUACCAGCAGAGGAAGCCCCGGCUAACUCCGU